UACGUAGGGUGCAAGCGUUGUCCGGAAUUAUUGGGCGUAAAGAGCUCGUAGGCGGUUUGUCGCGUCUGCUGUGAAAACUGGAGGCUCAACCUCCAGCCUGCAGUGGGUACGGGCAGACUAGAGUGCGGUAGGGGAGAUCGGAAUUCCUGGUGUAGCGGUGAAAUGCGCAGAUAUCAGGAGGAACAGCCGGUGGCGAAGGCGGGAUCUCUGGGCCAUUACUGACGCUGAGGAGCGAAAGCGUGGGGAGCGAACAGG
rnacentral:rRNA from 1 species